rnacentral:tRNA from 1 species
UUCAUUUUGGUGUAGGGUGCAUGGUAGUUUUUGGUGUUUCUGGUGAUAGUUCAAUUCUGUUAAAUGUCA